rnacentral:piRNA from 1 species
CGGGCGGCGGGUCCAAUCCCGCGGGG